rnacentral:rRNA from 1 species
GGUAGGUGAACCUGCGGGAAGGAUCAUUAUU